rnacentral:rRNA from 1 species
GUACCGUCCAAACGUUAUUCGGAAUUACUGGGCUUAAAGGGUUUGUAGGCGGCGCUGUUAGUCGGGUGUGAAAUCCCAGGGCUCAACCCUGGAACUGCGCCCGAUACUGCAGUGCUUGAGGGAGACAGAGGUAAGCGGAACUGAUGGUGGAGCGGUGAAAUGCGUUGAUAUCAUCAGGAACACCGGUGGCGAAAGCGGCUUACUGGGUCUCUUCUGACGCUGAGAAACGAAAGCUAGGGGAGCGAAGGGGAUUAGAUACCCCCGUAGUCCUAGCCGUAAACGUUGAGCACUUGAUCGAGGGCCCCCCCAUAGGCUCUCGGUCGUAGCGAAAGUGUUAAGUGCUCCGCCUGGGGAGUAUGGUCGCAAGGCUG